UUAACUCAAAUUUGUAUGGAGUUGGAACAGUUCCACUACGUUUGCCGCUAGGGGCGCUCGUCUAACUCCAUACAAAUUUGAGUUC
rfam:Bombyx mori DNA, contig: Bm_scaf82_contig33099, strain: p50T/Dazao, build 2, whole genome shotgun sequence.